UACGGAGGGGACUAGCGUUGUUCGGAAUUACUGGGCGUAAAGCGCACGUAGGCGGAUUUGUAAGUCAGAGGUGAAAUCCCGGGGCUCAACCUCGGAACUGCCUUUGAUACUGGCCAUCUUGAGUAUGGGAGAGGUGUGUGGAACUCCGAGUGUAGAGGUGAAAUUCGUAGAUAUUCGGAAGAACACCAGUGGCGAAGGCGGCUCACUGGCCCGGUACUGACGCUGAGAUACGAAAGCGUGGGGAGCAAACAGG
rnacentral:rRNA from 1 species